CCGGCGGGGGCGCCGCCGCCGCGGGUGAUGGGCUUCCGGCUGGAGGAGGGCGCCUCGGCCGCCUGGGCCUCCGGGGGCCUGAUCCGCGCCGCGCCGGGGGCCACGCUCCGCCUGCGCCUCUACGGCACCGGCCUCAGCAACCGCAGCUGGCCCUGGGGCGCCUUCGUGCCGGCCGAGGCCCCCUGCGCCCCCGCCGCCUCCCCGGCCCCGCUGCCCCGGGCGGCGCCCCAGGUCCUGGCUCAGGGCGCGCGGGCCGUGGGGGAGCACGCGGCGCUGGUGACGGUGCAGGUGGCGGCCGGAGGCCCCGGCGGCCGCUUCCAGCUGUGCAGCCCGGCGGGGCCCGGGGAGGCGUGGGCGCCGGCCGCCCCGGGCGACGCCAUCCUGGUGACGGAGGACGAGGGCCGCGCGGGGCGGGUGUCGGCCGUGGCCCUGGCGCCCUGGCUGCCGGCCUGGCUGCUGGGCUCGCUGGUGGCGCUGCUGCUGGCGCUGCUGGCCCUGCUGCGCACGCUGCAGCUCAGCACGCUGUGGCUGGAGCCGGCCGAGCUGUACGUGCUGCGCGACUGCGGCUCCGAGCGGGAGCGCCAGGCCUGCAAGGCGCUGGAGCCGCUCCGCCAGCGCGGGGCCUUCGUGCUGUGCUCGCUGCUGCUGCUGGGCUGCGUGGCGCACGCCGCCCUGGCCGUGCUCUUCUACCAGGCCGUGGGGAUGCUGGCGCCGGCCGUGCUGGGCGCCGCCGGCCUGGUCUUCCUGCUGGCCGAGGUGCUGCCCUUCGCCCUCAGCUCGCGCUGGGGGCUCUCGCUGGCGCCGCGCGGGCUGUGGCUCACGCAGCUCUUCAUGCUGCUCACCUUCCCCCUGUCGCUGCCGCUGAGCAAGGUGCUGGAACUGGCCCUGCAGCACGACACCAGCACCUGCCUCCUGCGGGAGAAGAUCCUGGAUAUGGUGCGCAACAGUGACCCCUACAACGAGUUUGUUCGGGAAGAGUUCAGCAAGAGCGCCCUGCGCAACAAGACCGUGGAGGAUGUGCUGACGCCGCUGGACGAGUGCUUCAUGCUCAAUGCCAACGCUGUGCUGGACUUCAACAACAUGUCAACGAUCAUGCAGAGCGGCUACACCCGCAUCCCCAUCUACGAGGACGAGCGCACCAACCUGGUGGACAUGCUCUACGUAAAGGACCUGGCCCUGGUGGAUCCUGAUGACUGCACCCCUCUCAGCACCAUCAUCAAAUUCUACAAUCACCCACUCCACUUUGUCUUCAACGACACCAAGCUGGACGCUGUGCUGGAGGAGUUCAAGCGAGGUAAAUCGCACAUGGCGAUUGUUCAGAAGGUAAACAAUGAAGGCGAAGGCGACCCUUUCUACGAAGUCAUGGGCUUGGUGACAUUGGAAGAUGUCAUUGAGGAGAUAAUAAAAUCAGAGAUCAUGGAUGAGUCAGAUGACUACAGGGAGAACAAAUUGAAAAAGAAGCCACCUGCACUUGGGACCUUGAUGGACCGCAGGAAAGAAGAUUUCUCCUUGUUCAAAGUGUCCGACAAUGAGUACAAGGUGAAAAUCUCUCCCCAGUUACUCCUGGCUACGCAGCGCUUCUUAUCCAGAGAGGUGGAUCUCUUCAGCCCAGCCCGAAUCUCUGAGAAGGUCCUGUUGCACCUGCUGAAACACCCCAGUGUCAACCAGGACGUCAAGUUUGAUGACAGCAACCGCCUUGCUGCUGAGCAUUACCUGUACCAGCGCAACCAGCCGGUCAAUUACUUCAUCCUCAUCCUGCAGGGCAGGGUUGAAGUCGAGAUUGGGAAGGAGGGACUGAAGUUUGAGAACGGAGCCUUCACGUAUUACGGUGUCUCUGCCCUGACAGCUCCUUCUUCAGUUCAUCAGUCCCCAGUGUCCACUCUCCGGAUGAACCGUCGUGAUCAGCAGCUUGAAUGCACAGAGACCACCACUUACUGUCCUGACUACACUGUCCGGGCACUCACUGACCUGCAGUUCAUCAAGGUUACCCGGUUGCAGUAUCUCAAUGCUCUCAUGGCCUCGAGGAUACAGAACUCCCCACAGUCACCUGACACCGUUGAAUUGAAAAUCAUCCCCAGCAGCCAGACAAAGCUUCUGAAUGACAAAAAUGCCACGCCAGCCUUCCCGCUCAAUCUCUCUUUCUUUGGCACAAUUGAGAACUGCAUUUAAUACAGGCCUCUCUGCCAUAGUCUGGAGUGCCUUUUUUGUUUGAAAACCACAAGGGAAAAGCAGAAGCAAGCUCAACCUUCUGGAAGAGGAGAGGCAGAGCACAGGGGUCUGACCCGCUAGAGGCUUGGGGGGCAAGGGGUCUCGGGAGGCCCCCUCUGAAAUCUCGGUCGCCUUCUCCUGGAGUCCACCCGUCCUUCCGAGGAACCUUUCACUUUGGCUCCUGCGUCCCAGAGAGACUCCUGGAACUGUGAAGGAACUGGCCAGCAGCCUCUUGGGUUGCUUCUGGUGCUCUGACCCGGCUGCAGCACCCAGGACGUCCUCUGAGCAGCACUUGACAGACAAAGGGUGGUUGAGUUUGGGGGGGGGCAAUCUCUAAGACUGUGAGCAGCAGAGAACAGCCACCCUGUGCCUACAGACUGGAUUACUUUUGCAGGAGUCGAUGUGAGCAGGGACCGGCAAGGGUGUGAUUGCAACAGCGUUCCCUCUGCUCCA